AUCUGUGCAGUGGUGUUUACAACUGAUUACAACAGUUACAGACUUCGUUUCUUCUCCACUCCCACUGCUUCACUUGACUAGCUUUAA
rnacentral:sRNA from 1 species